CAUUAGCAGCGAACCCAAAGCCAUUGUACAGGAGAGACGGUCAUUCUUAUAUCGGGACAACGAGAUUAUAGNAGAAAAUGAAUCCCUCCACUCGUAAAGCAUUCNGCAUCCGAGAGCACAAGNGACUUCCCAUGUGCCAAAGUAGCCAAAAAAGCAUACCAGGUACACGAUAGCCGCUGUAUGGUUCAUCCAAUGCCACCUUUGAUGGGGNAAAGAUGAANAGCAUUNCGNAACAAAAUUGGAUUCCGCUAAGUGGGUAUGCAACACAGAAACCCAUCCUUGCCCGACAUAGCAACAUGCCUUCGAGACACC
rnacentral:misc_RNA from 1 species